rnacentral:tRNA from 1 species
GGCAACGUGGCGGAGUGGUUAACGCGACAGCCUGCUAAGCUGUUUCCUUCGGGAGCGCAAGUUCGAAUCUUGCCGUUGUCG